AAGCUAAUACCGUAUAUUCUCUAAUGAGGAAAAGAUUUAUCGCUGAUGGAUGAGCCCGCGCCCAGAUUAGGUAGUUGGUGAGGGUAAUGGCUCACCAAGCUGACGAUCUGUAGCUGGGUCUGAGAGGAUGAUCAGCCACACUGGGACUGAGACACGGCCCCAGACUCCUACGGGAGGGCAGCAGUGGGGGAAUAUUGGACAAUGGGCGAAAGCCUGAUCCAGCAAUACCGAGUGAGUGAUGAAGGCCUUAGGGUUGUAAAGCUCUUUUAGCAGGGAAGAUAAUGACGUUACCUGCAGAAAAAGCCCCGGCUAACUCCGUGC
rnacentral:rRNA from 1 species